UACGUAGGGUGCAAGCGUUAAUCGGAAUUACUGGGCGUAAAGCGUGCGCAGGCGGCUUUGCAAGACAGAUGUGAAAUCCCCGGGCUUAACCUGGGAACUGCAUUUGUGACUGCAAGGCUAGAGUACGGUAGAGGGGGAUGGAAUUCCGCGUGUAGCAGUGAAAUGCGUAGAUAUGCGGAGGAACACCGAUGGCGAAGGCAAUCCCCUGGACCUGUACUGACGCUCAUGCACAAAAGCGUGGGGAGCAAACAGG
rnacentral:rRNA from 1 species